CUCAAUGGACGAGGUGCAGGGGCACAGGUGUCUUCCUUUUUGCCGACUUGGCAGCUGGCCAUUGACCAGAAAGGAACAGCUCUUGAUCCUCCUGUGAGUGCAGCACUGUGCCGGGCGCCCAGGAAACACGGAGCACAGGACAAGUGUCUUCCUGGGGUCCAGCGAGUCCCCCCCACACGGUGCUGUCAGUGUGCCUGUUUGGGGACAGGCCGCUGCUCUGCCCACCGCUAACGGUGCACUUGCUGGAAACCUCAGCCUCUCUGCUGAGCCAGGAUGGAAGGGCAAAUGGUGUGAGUCAGGCUUUAAAACCCUGCCAGAAACCAGCUUUCAAUAGCUUGUGUACGUGUUUUUCAUGUUGGCAAAUUUUGAGGAGAACGUUGUCUGUUCUAGGAAGAAUUUUCUAUUGACAACUAUCCUCCUAGUUCAUGCCAGCGAUUACUGGGACAAUUCUUGUCCUCCGAUAUCAAGUUGUCCCCAAAACGGUGGUUUUACAGGGUUUGCACCACGGGGCCCAGGCGGCAGCAGUGACCGGCAAUCUGCUUGUCGUGGGGACACAGUGUAAAGGCUGAGUGUGAGUCUGUGGGGCCCACGCACAGCGACUCGGGCAGCGUGGCAAACACUGACGAGACCUAGACACAACCUUGAGCUGUGCCCGUUCCAUAGCAGCCUGCCCCACAGGAAUUGCUCUGUCUAGCGUCAGACCGUUUGCUCAGCACAUUUAUUGAGCACCAAGUGUGUGCACGCUUUCACAGGACAGCAGCCCACCCCAAGCGCACACUUUGGACAUGUUUUGGAGACCUUUCUGAACAAGUGCUGUCAUUUCACAGAGACCAGGGGCCACCGCGGCAGGCUCCAUGGCCAGUUUACUUGCUCUAAUUAACACAAAGGCAGCGGCGGAGGGGAAGUUCAGGAACGCUGGUGUCGACAGACAUUUGCCUGGAUCUGCUCCAGCUGCGAGACCGAGCGUUUCCGCGUUGUGCUAACGAGCCUGUUCUCUCUCUUUGCCCUUCAAUUCUGGCUCCUUCUGGCAAAGCCCCGCCAGGCAAGCCUCUGAACUCGAGACCAGCCCCUGGGGAGGGACAUGCUGGGGGCUCUGACGAUCUCUCACAGCUUGUGGAAAGCAGCCUCAAGCCAAGGUCCUGUGCAAAGGACCGCUGGGAUGCAAAUUCCGGAAAACCUCUGUGGUGCAGGAAGGCUGUUACCUGGAGAUGGCCACUGAGGCCAUUGCUGACAGUUCAAAUCCCCCGCCUUUGCAGGUGGUGCCACCCAGAUCGCUCAUGCACACCUGGCUCCCAGCCCCGAGCUGUGAGUUCCUGUCCUCUGGGGGUGGUUGUGGGACCAGGCAGGAGUGGGGAGGGUCUGGUACUUUGAUCUCAGACACUCUCAGGGUCAUUUGUAGCUGAGGGACAAGAAGGUGAGAAGCCCCAUUUCUCAGCCAAGUGCUGAUGGCUUCAGUUCACAGAGGCGUGAAUGGGGUCAGCCUGCACCCCUGCGCUGGGCUCUGGGGGGGGGGGCUGUGGAAGCCAGGGGAGGGACGCUGGGACAGAUGGCCCCGGGAGACCCCCGGGGCAUUGCCGAGGGGCCUCAGAAGCCUGCCUGCUCUCACCUACCCUUUUGUGACCCCAUUUCCUGCCUCAUACCCCCACCCCCAGCUGACUCCUAACUUGGUUCCACUUCUGUAAAAACUAGGGGUGCGAGGCACCCCAGCUCCUCCCUGGGGCUGGACCGUCUACCAGCUGGGCUGGGGGCAGCGUAGAGAUGGGGGGAUGCUGGUAUCAGUCCCCCUGCAGGCCACGCUGGCUGCCAUGGCCAUUGGUCACUGGGAACUCAGUUUCGCCUUCGAGCAGAGGAAGCCCACGUGUAGAGCUGCUGAGGUGCGGGCACACUGCAGGUGCCAUCAGGAGGCAGGGAAAGCCAUGUCCGCAACCUUAAGUAGCGCUUGGCAAAGCCAGUGUCCCUCCACCCCUUCCUUUCCGGCCUUGCCACAGGCAGCCCUUGCUGGCGGAGUCCAGGCUGCGGCACCGCCGGGCCCGCCCCCGCCCCUUCUCCAGGCCACCGACGCUGGGUCCCAGUCCUGCCACGGAAGCAAGCACUGGGCGGGAAGCAUCUGUGAGCAGCUGGGAUGCAACGGUGCUGGGGACCCGGUUGGCCACACUUUGGGCCUCUUUGAGGAAACCUGUCUCUUCACCUCCCCGCCCCACCUCUGCCAACAUCGUGCAGGCCACACAAGAGCCUUGCACGCAGCAGGUGCUCAGGAAACGCCCGUAGCUAUUGCUGGCCUACUAGCUUUGUUCACAUUAGUUAUUUCACACAGAAGACACGGGAAGGCCAGUCCUUGUCUGUGUCACACAAGCUGGGCGGUGGUUAGGGGCUCUGGGGGGCCCAGCAGAGGCUGGGACGUGGAGGUUGUGGAACGAGGCAGCUGAGGGGCUGACGGGACACAAGGCCUCGAACCCCGGCUUUGCUCAGACGAGCUGCCUCUGCGACAACCAGCCUGAUGGAUCCACUGACUCUGCCCUCCUGGCGGGAAGGCGUGAGUGCGCGUGCGUGCACGUCCAGUACGCACAUGGGUGUCCCCGUGUGCACGUGAGAGCAUACGUGUGAACACACACUGUGUGAGUAUGUCUGCAUGUGUUCAUCUCACACUCAGGGUGCGUGGGGGCUUUGGGGAACCACAUGCCCGCACAGGUGCUGUUCCUGCCUGAGCUUCUCUGCCACAUGCAGCGCGGAGCUGGGUGGAGGUUUCCCUCACCCCCCACCCACAUGGGGCACCAUUCAUGGCUUCCUGGAUUUCACUAGUCACACUGGACACACUGGUCAUUUAAAAUUCCUUAUGCUUUGGGGAGGUGGUUUCCUUGCUCACUUAUGUUUUUCUCUCUUUAUUUCAGUAAGCAAUGUGGACAGGCUUCUGGGGUGCUAAGAAUGUGCUGUGUCUCUGUGACAUGGACACAGGCAAACACAAACGUAACAAUCCACGAAGCUCUGCGUGUACGUUACACCAUAAUGAACGAUAUUCAUAAGAGAUGCAACCAAGUAACCUGAGAAACAAAGCCAAAGCUCUAUUUUAUUUUUGAGGGGACAUCCCUCUGUGAAGAGUGUCUUCCUGUGGCUAUAUGUCCAGAUUCAGUUUAAAUCCUCUCGUCACUAAAACACUAGCAGUCUUGUUACUGAAUGUUAUAAAAGCUAACAUCAAAA